CCUACGGGGGGCUGCAGUGGGGAAUAUUGCACAAUGGGCGCAAGCCUGAUGCAGCCAUGCCGCGUGUGUGAAGAAGGCCUUCGGGUCGUAAAGCACUUUCAGCGGGGAGGAAGGCGGUGAGGUUAAUAACCUCAUCGAUUGACGUUACCCGCAGAAGAAGCACCGGCUAACUCCGUGCCAGCAGCCGCGGUAAUACGGAGGGUGCAAGCGUUAAUCGGAAUUACUGGGCGUAAAGCGCACGCAGGCGGUCUGUCAAGUCGGAUGUGAAAUCCCCGGGCUCAACCGGGGAACUGCAUUCGAAGCUGGCAGGCUAGAGUCUUGUAGAGGGGGGUAGAAUUCCAGGUGUAGCGGUGAAAUGCGUAGAGAUCUGGAGGAAUACCGGUGGCGAAGGCGGCCCCCUGGACAAAGACUGACGCUCAGGUGCGAAAGCGUGGGGAGCAAACAGGAUUAGAUACCCUUGUAGUC
rnacentral:rRNA from 1 species